rnacentral:rRNA from 1 species
AGUGAACGCUGGCGGUAGGCCUAACACAUGCAAGUCGAACGGCAGCACAGUAAGAGCUUGCUCUUACGGGUGGCGAGUGACGGACGGGUGAGGAAUACAUCGGAAUCUACUUUUUCGUGGGGGAUAACGUAGGGAAACUUACGCUAAUACCGCAUACGACCUACGGGUGAAAGCAGGGGAUCUUCGGACCUUGCGCGAUUGAAUGAGCCGAUGUCGGAUUAGCUAGUAGGCGGGGUAAAGGCCCACCAAGGCGACGAUCCGUAGCUGGUCUGAGAGGAUGAUCAGCCACACUGGAACUGAGACACGGUCCAGACUCCUACGGGAGGCAGCAGUGGGGAAUAUUGGACAAUGGGCGCAAGCCUGAUCCAGCCAUACCGCGUGGGUGAAGAAGGCCUUCGGGUUGUAAAGCCCUUUUGUUGGGAAAGAAAAGCAGCAGGUUAAUACCCCGCUGUUCUGACGGUACCCAAAGAAUAAGCACCGGCUAACUUCGUG